CCGCGGGCUCCUUCCCAUCGCUUCUCCCAGCGGCGCCUGCUCCCGCCCCGCGCUCCGGCGGCGCCCGGCUUCCUCCCCGCACGGGGAGAGGCAGGUGGAUGUCGGGAGGACGGGAAGGAAGGGACGCGAGGCAGGAGCCGCCGCGGGCAGCGGGGUGCCGGCAGCAGCAUCAGAUUCCCAGAAUGACCGAAACGACGACAAACACACGGGAAGAGCAGGCACAAGGAGAGAAACGAGCGAGAGAAAAGAGUUUUGCUGGCAUCAGUACUAUGGUGAACCUGCCAGCACCGCUGUGUACGCGGGACAACUUGCACACCAAAAUUCAAACUCCAGUCCAUCACCUCUGAUGGCUUUUGAAUCCCUGUGCCAGAAGCCCUUGGAAGACAGCAUGAGGAAGAGGAUUAACUGCAUGGGUCCUUACGUUCUUGGUGGCUGUCUCUUCAAACGAAGUGCCUUCGGAAAAGCACAUGGCUAUCACUCACAGUAAAAUGGUUUGGGUGGUUGGUGCUUCAGGAAGCAGGUAACUCAGAAUAAAUUGUAUGGUGGUGGGCUCUGUCCUGGCAAUAUUGACCAGGAGCCACCUUGAUGAAGGGCCUUGUGUUAAGGAGUUGUGAGCUGUCUCAUGAGAAAGCCUUGUUGGCACUCAUACUGAACAGUCUCGUCCUGUGUGAGGGAAUGCAGAGCAUGCAGGAGAGAGAGAAGCCCAAGCUCCAUCAGAGAGACAGAAGAUCAAAAGCAGUGAAGAAAUUAUGGUAAAGCAAUUAACAUUGGGAUGUCCACUAUUUUGCAUGUGUCCGUUUUCCAGUAGCUGAAAAGCAGUUUUGCCUUGUGUCUCAAUAAAGCAGUGGCCCCAAAGAUGCCUUUCCCAAACCCCCAAAGUGCCCACAGCAUUAAAAAUCUGCACAAUUAACUGCUGGUUAAUGGAGCUAGAACUGACCCAUUUUGACGAAGGGGAUCAGAGAGCGUGCCAGAGAAACUGGAGGUGACAGCCAGUGCCCCAGCUCUUUCAUUCCAGAAAAUUGCAGGAACAAAUAGUUCCAGCAUGGUUAUCCUCACAAAGAGAAGUAAGGAGCAGCGGAGAGAGGUGCGUGGUGAGGAGGAAGGACAUUUCAAUUCUCUCUUCCCUUUUGUCAUCUCAACUCAAUAACACCUUAUGUAACACGUUUGGGUUUUGUUUAAGUUGUGAGACUGUAAAAGUUUCCUGGCUGUAAAACUGUAAGAAUAGGAAGUACUUGUGAUCUUUUGAAAAGAUUUUUCUUUCUAGCUGAAAAAAAGGAUAUAUGCAGAGAAGCCUGUACUAGAACAGCAAGUUAAAGCUUUUUCAAUAUAAAGUCAGGAUAUUUCUUUUUCCUAAUGUAAUAAAAGGUGUGACAAAACCAGUGGUAUCACUAUUAA